rnacentral:piRNA from 1 species
UNGUGGUGGCUGUGACCAGGUGAUGGCAGC